rnacentral:rRNA from 1 species
CAGCCGCCGCGGUAAUACGUAGGUGGCAAGCGUUGUCCGGAUUUAUUGGGCGUAAAGCGAGCGCAGGCGGUUCUUUAAGUCUGAUGUGAAAGCCCCCGGCUCAACCGGGGAGGGGCAUUGGAAACUGGAGAACUUGAGUGCAGAAGAGGAGAGUGGAAUUCCACGUGUAGCGGUGAAAUGCGUAGAUAUGUGGAGGAACACCAGUGGCGAAGGCGACUCUCUGGUCUGUAACUGACGCUGAGGCUCGAAAGCAUGGGGAGCAAACAGGAUUAGAUACCCUGGUAGUCCACGCCGUAAACGAUGAGUGCUAAGUGUUGGAGGGUUUCCGCCCUUCAGUGCUGCAGCUAACGCAUUAAGCACUCCGCCUGGGGAGUACGACCGCAAGGUUGAAACUUAAAGGAAUUGGCGGG